rfam:Pteropus alecto contig60588, whole genome shotgun sequence.
AGAUAUAUCCACUUAAACCUGCUGGUUCAAUAUUUUGAUAGACUUGACAAGUAAAUUCAAACAAAUAAGCUAAGCAGGGUCGGGCCUGGUUAGUACUUGGAUAGGAGACCACCUAGGAAGACCAGGUGCUGUAGGCG